ensembl:lncRNA
GUUUUUUUCCCGUUUAAUGUCAAAUUAAAAGCAGUACCUCGAACAAGAGCAGCAGCGAUAAUUUGAGACGUCUUUGCAGUGUCACACUGCUGUAAGUCACAGUGUUCGUCAUCUGUCCCGUGACUUUGAGCUUGGUGCUGUAUUUUGUUUUCAAAUGCAUGAAUAGAACAAAUGCAGCACAUUAUCAACAUUUAUUUUGUUUUUUUUUUUAUGAAGACACUGCCGUUAUCAGUAUAUUUUUCUUGAUUUAUAGAGGUGACACAUGACAUACUGAUGCUGGUGAGAUCCUGGAGAUUUAUGACAUGUGGGCAGACACUUACUAGUGCACAAAAGUUUGUGUUAAUGUAGAAACAUGCCACUUGCAUACAAGACAGAUGGUCACUGGAACUGAGUCAGUGCAUGCCUACCCUAAAUAUUCAUUUAAAAAUCAUAAAUGAUUUCAUAUUCAGCUGUUCAGAUGGCUUUAAUAUCAGAUUAAAAAAGUGAAACCACAUUUCAAAAUGACAUCAAACUUUUGAGCAUCACACUUGAUGCAGUUCUCUGUUCCUCAGAUGCACUUUACACAAUAUAUGAUCUGGAAAAUGUUGAUGUUUGCAUAUCCUUCAGUCUUUUCACUUUGACUAUAAAACACCUGAGACUGAACCUUCUGACCUGCUAAUGUGCGAGUCGUAAAAUAAGUCAAAAAAGUGACACUUCAUAAUAAUCAUUUUCUUAUGCUAUCUGUGCAAAGGAUUAACAUUUCCUUAAAAAAAAAGCAUAGCAUACAGAUUUUCAGUGUUCAAAAAAAAAAAAAAAAAAAAAUUUAAUUUAGUUUCUUUUGAAGGCUUCCCACAAAAGCAACAUUUAUAAAGAUACAGACUAACAGCAGUGAAGGUUUUGGUUGAUAGUAAAAUGAUUCCAGUGUGGAAAACAACUAUUGCAACAAGUCAUUGCAGUAGAUUCAUUAAAUACAAACAUUAUCAGAAAUAUGUUUCUAAUGUGAUAUACAUUCAAUUUCUGCCACUAUCCAAAUUGUGUAAGGCCAUAAUGUGUUUUUAAAUUAAAGACAGGUACAGAUACAGGCAGGUAAAAGCACGUCUAAUGGGCUCUUACAUACAUACAGAAAACAGCGGGACAAAAUGUUAAUGAACAAUCACAUGCCCUAAAGCGAGAGGUUAAAAGUGUCGUAAAUCAGAUUAUUAGAAACACCUUUUACAUAAUCACAAAUACAUGAGCAGUUUCUUUUGGCCACAUAUAGAGUUAGUCCUGUGUCUGUAGUGUUAAUGUCUGUGCUUUGUAAUGACACACUUGGCAUGGAUAACAACAUGUUCCUAUUGCUGAGCAGCACCUGCUUUAAAUUAAUGAUUGAUUGUACUUCCACGUGUUACGCAGAAUACAAGAGGAAGUUACACUUGCACUGGCCGUUAAACAUGGGCUGAAUUUCACUGACUGGAAAGAGACACUGUUCAGUCAGUAAAUGGAGAGUGGACAUGUUAAGUACUAGGUAAACCCAGAGCGGCUUAAUCAUUAGUCAAGUUAGUGUCAGGAACAACUUUUUUUUUUUUAAACAUGUAGAGUUUAGACCUGCUUUUAUGUAACAGAUUGGAGUUAUGAAGCCAUUAGUUUGGCAAACAAGUGGAAUAACUGCCCCCCAUAAUCCCUCCUCCCCUCUCCCAAAACCCCGACCCCUGUGUGCAUCAUCCCAAGAGGUGUUGCAGGUAGAUCUACAGCGGCAACAACUAGAAGUGAAGAAAGCCUUCAAAGAACAGAUCCAGAAAUCCUCCGCGUCUCCUUCCGCUACACACACAAAAA